UCGAGAAUCUUCGGCAAUGGACGCAAGUCUGACCGAGCGACGCCGCGUGUGCGAAGAAGGCCCUCGGGUCGUAAAGCACUGUCAGGGGGGAGUAAACACUGAACUAUCCCCAGAGGAAGCACGGGCUAAGUUCGUGCCAGCAGCCGCGGUAAGACGAACCGUGCGAACGUUGUUCGGAAUCACUGGGCUUAAAGGGUGCGUAGGCGGGUGAUCAAGUCGGUUGGUGAAAGCCCCCAGCUCAACUGGGGAAUUGCCGCCGAUACUGAUUGUCUGGAGGAAGGUAGGGGCACGUGGAACUUCCGGUGGAGCGGUGAAAUGCGUAGAGAUCGGAAGGAACGCCAGUGGCGAAAGCGACGUGCUGGACCUUUUCUGACGCUGAGGCACGAAAGCCAGGGUAGCGAACGGGAUUAGAUACCCCGGUAGUCC
rnacentral:rRNA from 1 species